CCUACGGGAGGCAGCAGUGAGGAAUAUUGGUCAAUGGAUGAGAGUCUGAACCAGCCAAGUAGCGUGAAGGAUGACUGCCCUAUGGGUUGUAAACUUCUUUUAUAUGGGAAUAAAAUGUUCCACGUGUGGGAUUUUGUAUGUACCAUAUGAAUAAGGAUCGGCUAACUCCGUGCCAGCAGCCGCGGUAAUACGGAGGAUCCGACCGUUAUCCGGAUUUAUUGGGUUUAAAGGGAGCGUAGGUGGAUUGUUAAGUCAGUUGUGAAAGUUUGCGGCUCAACCGUAAAAUUGCAGUUGAAACUGGCAGUCUUGAGUACAGUAGAGGUGGGCGGAAUUCGUGGUGUAGCGGUGAAAUGCUUAGAUAUCACGAAGAACUCCGAUUGCGAAGGCAGUUCACUGGACUGCAACUGACACUGAGGCUCGAAAGUGUGGGUAUCAAACAGGAUUAGAUACCCUUGUAGUC
rnacentral:rRNA from 1 species